rnacentral:rRNA from 1 species
GGCGGCGUGCCUAAUACAUGCAAGUUGUGCGGUAAGGCUUUGCACUAAGUACUUAAUUUUUUAAGUAUUUUGUGCAGAGUACACGAGCAGCGGACGGCUGAGUAACGCGUAGGAAUCUACCUUGAAGUGAGGGAUAAGCAUCAGAAAUGAUGUCUAAUACCGCAUGUGCUCCACGGAGUAAAGCUUCGGCGCUUUAAGAAGAGCCUGCGUAUGAUUAGCUAGUUGGUAAGGUAAUGGCUUACCAAGGCGAUGAUCAUUAGCUGGUCUGAGAGGAUGAUCAGCCAGACUGGGACUGAGAACGGCCCAGACUCCUACGGGAGGCAGCAGUAGGGAAUUUUCCACAAUGGGCGAAAGCCUGAUGGAGCAACGCCGCGUGCAGGAUGAAGGCCUUCGGGUUGUAAACUGCUUUUAUAUGUGAUGAUUAUGACAGUAGCAUAUGAAUAAGGAUCGGCUAACUCCGUGCCAGCAGCCGCGGUCAUACGGAGGAUUCAAGCGUUAUCCGGAAUUACUGGGCGUAAAGAGUUGCGUAGGUGGCAAAGUAAGCAAAUAGUAAAAGCGUACAGCUCAACUGUAUUUAUAUUAUUUGAAAC